rnacentral:rRNA from 1 species
CGGUUGAUCCCGCCGGACCUGACUGCUAUCGGAUUGAUACUAAGCCAUGCGAGUCAUUGUAGCAAUACAAGGCAUACGGCUCAGUAACGCGUAGUCAACCUAACCUAUGGACGGGAAUAACCUCGGGAAACUGAGGAUAAUGCCCGAUAGAACACUAUACCUGGAAUGGUUUGUGUUCCAAAUGAUUUAUCGCCAUAGGAUGGGACUGCGGCCUAUCAGUUUGUUGGUGAGGUAAUGGCCCACCAAGACUAUUACAGGUACGGGCUCUGAGAGGAGUAGCCCGGAGAUGGGUACUGAGACACGGACCCAGGCCCUAUGGGGCGCAGCAGGCGAGAAAACUUUGCAAUGUGCGAAAGCACGACAAGGUUAAUCCGAGUGAUUGUGCUAAACGAAUCUUUUGUUAGUCCUAGAAACACUAACGAAUAAGGGGUGGGCAAGUUCUGGUGUCAGCCGCCGCGGUAAAACCAGCACCUCAAGUGGUCAGGAUGAUUAUUGGGCCUAAAGCAUCCGUAGCCGGCUCUGUAAGUUUUCGGUUAAAUCUGUACGCUUAACGUACAGGCUGCCGGGAAUACUGCAGAGCUAGGGAGUGGGAGAGGUAGACGGUACUCGGUAGGAAGUGGUAAAAUGCUUUGAUCUAUCGAUGACCACCUGUGGCGAAGGCGGUCUACCAGAACACGUCCGACGGUGAGGGAUGAAAGCUGGGGGAGCAAACCGGAUUAGAUACCCGGGUAGUCCCAGCUGUAAACUAUGCAAACUCAGUGAUGCAUUGGCUUGUGGCCAAUGCAGUGCUGCAGGGAAGCCGUUAAGUUUGCCGCCUGGGAAGUACGUACGCAAGUAUGAAACUUAAAGGAAUUGGCGGGGGAGCACCACAAGGGGUGAAGCCUGCGGUUCAAUUGGAUUCAACGCCGGG